ACGGCUGUGGCCCACGGUGUUCAUGGCGGCGACGUUGGCCGCGUCGUUGAACACCCGGCUCAAUCCCAGUUCGGCAUCUGGCUGCCGUCC
rnacentral:tRNA from 1 species